rnacentral:snRNA from 1 species
AUAACUCCAAAAAGUUUGAGUCUC